rnacentral:sRNA from 1 species
ACAUGAAUAUUUGAAAAAAAGAGAAUUGAUUUAAUAUUGAAAAAAAAAAAAAACAUGAACUCAUUUAUAGUUAGAUUUUUAAUUAUACAUUAUACAACUACAACAAGGACACAAGCAAAGAAAAUGAAAAAAAAAAAAGAAUGAAAGACAGCAACAAAAAGCAUACUUUGCCCUCUGUUUUAAAUAAAUUUUUAAUAAAUUUUGUGGAAACUCCUCCUCCUUUUCCUCCUCGAAAUGACCAGCAAAACGGAAAUAUCAAUCACAUCCAAGUAUCUAUACAUCUCUCGCUCCCUCACGCCCUUUCUAUCUAGUAGUUUAGUAUGAUUUUGAAUACAAGUUUCGGACUUAUUCAUAUGUUUUUGAUGUAUAUAUCUAAACCAAAAGCCCCCCUCCCCCAAUAUUGUAUUGUGACGCCUUUUCACAGUCUAAGAAAUACGUAAUUUUAUGAAAUGAAAUGGAGUCCAAAUUUCCUUUUUUUAUCGACAAAGGUUUUAUUGGCGGAAAAUUAAAGUCUCGUAAAAUAUUGCGAUUCGCUUCAAAAAAAAAAA